UACAGGGGGUGCAAACGUUGCUCGGAAUCAUUGGGCGUAAAGAGUGUGUAGGCGGUGUUCCCAGUCUGUUGUGAAAUCUCCCGGCUUAACUGGGAGGGUGCAGCGGAAACUAGAAUGCUAGAGGGUGGGAGAGGUAAGCGGAAUUCCUGGUGUAGCGGUGAAAUGCGUAGAUAUCAGGAGGAACACCGGUGGCGAAGGCGGAUCUCUGGGCCUUACCUGACGCUCAGGUGCGAAAGCUAGGGGAGCGAACAGG
rnacentral:rRNA from 1 species